AUUGAACGCUGGCGGAAUGCUUUACACAUGCAAGUCGAGCGGCAGCGCGGGGCAACCUGGCGGCGAGCGGCGAACGGGUGAGUAACAUAUCGGAACGUACCCAGUCGUGGGGGAUAACUAUCCGAAAGGAUAGCUAAUACCGCAUACGACCUGAGGGUGAAAGCGGGGGAUCGCAAGACCUCGCGCGAUGGGAGCGGCCGAUAUCGGAUUAGCUUGUUGGUGAGGUAAAGGCUCACCAAGGCGACGAUCCGUAGCUGGUCUGAGAGGACGACCAGCCACACUGGAACUGAGACACGGUCCAGACUCCUACGGGAGGCAGCAGUGGGGAAUUUUGGACAAUGGGGGCAACCCUGAUCCAGCCAUUCCGCGUGAGUGAAGAAGGCCUUCGGGUUGU
rnacentral:rRNA from 1 species